rnacentral:misc_RNA from 1 species
CAAGAAUCAUAUUCUAAGCCCAACAAUAAUACUUCCAGUAGCCUCGUAAAUCUUACCCUUUUUGCUUAUCCUCAAAAUAUUGAAGCCCUAAUUUUGGUAGCAAUGUUGGAUCCGGCGACUGAUUUGGUACCGCCACCUUCUUCUCCUACAAUUUCAUCGGUUUCUUCGUCUGAUCUCGACACUGAGUCUACAGGUUCAUUUUUCCAUGAUCGGAGUAUAACAUUAGGGACACUCAUGGGAGUUACGUUCCAGGCGAUCACGUUCAGAGCUCCGUCGAUGACUCAGAACCGUCAGUCGAUCGUUGAGAGCCCAGCCGGCGCGGGGAUUACUUCUCAGAAGAACAGGAAAUCGAAGAAGAGUAGAGUAGCGGCGGUGGAAGAGGAGGAACGACGGCAUUGCCGAAG